rnacentral:tRNA from 1 species
GUGGCUGUAGCUCAGUGGAAGAGCACUUGUCUUGUAUGGGUGAGGCUCUGGGUUCAAUCCUCAGCACCACA